UGGUACUGAGCCAGGAUCAAAUAUUAAACGGGAGGCAGCGGUGAGGAAUAUUGGACAAUGGGUGCGAGCCUGAUCCAGCCAUCCCGCGUGAAGGACGACGGCCCUAUGGGUUGUAAACUUCUUUUGUAUAGGGAUAAACCUACUCUCGUGAGAGUAGCUGAAGGUACUAUACGAAUAAGCACCGGCUAACUCCGUGCCAGCAGCCGCGGUAAUACGGAGGGUGCAAGCGUUAUCCGGAUUUAUUGGGUUUAAAGGGUCCGUAGGCGGAUCUGUAAGUCAGUGGUGAAAUCUCACAGCUUAACUGUGAAACUGCCAUUGAUACUGCAGGUCUUGAGUGUUGUUGAAGUAGCUGGAAUAAGUAGUGUAGCGGUGAAAUGCAUAGAUAUUACUUAGAACACCAAUUGCGAAGGCAGGUUACUAAGCAACAACUGACGCUGAUGGACGAAAGCGUGGGGAGCGAACAGGAUUAGAUACCCUGGUAGUCCACGCCGUAAACGAUGCUAACUCGUUUUUGGGUUUUCGGAUUCAGAGACUAAGCGAAAGUGAUAAGUUAGCCACCUGGGGAGUACGAACGCAAGUUUGAAACUCAAAGGAAUUGACGGGGGCCCGCACAAGCGGUGGAUUAUGUGGUUUAAUUCGAUGAUACGCGAGGAACCUUACCAAGGCUUAAAUGGGAAAUGACAGGCUUAGAAAUAGGCUUUUCUUCGGACAUUUUUCAAGGUGCUGCAUGGUUGUCGUCAGCUCGUGCCGUGAGGUGUUAGGUUAAGUCCUGCAACGAGCGCAACCCCUGUCACUAGUUGCCAUCAUUAAGUUGGGGACUCUAGUGAGACUGCCUACGCAAGUAGAGAGGAAGGUGGGGAUGACGUCAAAUCAUCACGGCCCUUACGCCUUGGGCCACACACGUAAUACAAUGGCCGGUACAGAGGGCAGCUACACUGCGAAGUGAUGCAAAUCUCGAAAGCCGGUCUCAGUUCGGAUUGGAGUCUGCAACUCGACUCUAUGAAGCUGGAAUCGCUAGUAAUCGCGCAUCAGCCAUGGCGCGGUGAAUACGUUCCCGGGCCUUGUACACACCGCCCGUCAA
rnacentral:rRNA from 1 species